CCAGAGAACUUUCCAGAGAUGGAUUGGUGCCUUCGGGAACUCUGAGACAGGUGCUGCAUGGCUGUCGUCAGCUCGUGUUGUGAAAUGUUGGGUUAAGUCCCGCAACGAGCGCAACCCUUUAUCCUUUGUUGCCAGCGGUUAGGCCGGGAACUCAAAGGAGACUGCCAGUGAUAAACUGGAGGAAGGUGGGGAUGACGUCAAGUCAUCAUGGCCCUUACGAGUAGGGCUACACACGUGCUACAAUGGCGCAUACAAAGAGAAGCGACCUCGCGAGAGCAAGCGGACCUCAUAAAGUGCGUCGUAGUCCGGAUUGGAGUCUGCAACUCGACUCCAUGAAGUCGGAAUCGCUAGUAAUCGUGGAUCAGAAUGCCACGGUGAAUACGUUCCCGGGCCUUGUACACACCGCCCGUCACACCAUGGGAGUGGGUUGCAAAAGAAGUAGGUAGCUUAACCUUCGGGAGGGCGCUUACCACUUUGUGAUUCAUGACUGGGGUGAAGUCGUAACAAGGUAGGCGUAGUGCU
rnacentral:rRNA from 1 species